GAUGAACGCUGGCGGCGUGCCUAAUACAUGCAAGUCGAGCGGACAGACGAGGAGCUUGCGGCUCGGACGUGAGGGGCGGGCGGGUGAGUAACACGUGGAAAACCUCCCUAUAAGACGGGGAUAACUACGGAACACCGGCGCUAAUACGGGAUAAGAUAUUGAACCGCAGGGGGCAAUGGUGAAAGACGGUGGUUCUGUCACGUAUAGAGGGAUCCGGGCGGCAUGAGCUAGUUGGUGCGGUAAUGGCUUACCAAGGCGACGAUGCGUAGCCGACCGGAGAGGGGGGUAGGCCACACUGGAGCUUAGCCAGGGUCCAGACUCCUACGGGAGGCAGCAGAAGGGAACCUUCCGCAAUGGGCGAAAGCCUGACGGAGCAACGCCGCGCGAGUGAUGAAGGUCUUCGGAUCGUAAAACCCUGUUAUUAGGGAAGAACCAAUGUGGAAGUAACUGUGCCCGUCUUGACGGUACCUAAUCAGAAAGCCACGGCUAACUACGUG
rnacentral:rRNA from 1 species